AAUCUAUCUGGCUUGAACUCUUCAGGAUUCGGCCACACACUAGCGUCGCGAUGCAACUUCCAUAAGUUUGUCAAAAAACGAGUGCCCUUUGGAAUAUGGUAUCCGCACAGGGUGCAAUCUUCCAUUGCCUCGCGAGGAACUGCCAGAGGACCUGCUGGGUAUAAUCUCAGUGUUUCUUUAAUGAUUGCUUUGAGGUACACUAAGUUUUCGACGUCUGAUUCUUCUACGGGUCUGUCCCUUCCAACUUUCUGAUCUAUCUCCUCUUGGGCAAGCUGCAAUUCACGCCUGUUGUUCAACAAAUUGGCCAACAUCCAUAUCAUGGUGAUAGAUGUUGUAUCGGACCCACCGACGAUAAGAGUCAUUAUUGUUGCUUUGAUAACUGUUUCACGAGAAUUGCCGAAUUGGGAAUCAUCCUGAACUGCAGAUAGCAAAACAUCUAUGAAAUCCUGCUUGGUCUCCACCUCACCGUUGAGCCUUCUCAACUCAUGUUCUUGAAUCCAGGCAUCUAUAAUGGUAUCCAAUUCCUUGUUAAUCUUCUUCAUAGAUUUCACAGACCCAUACAUGAAUUCCGUCCAUCCUAGAAAAGGAAUCAAGUCAGAAGGAACAGAAGCACCAGCAAAAUACAUGAAUUCCCUCAUGACUUCUCCAAUGGGACGUCCCUUUUCAUCGUGCCCAUUAUUGUCACCUUCGAAGUAUCGCUUUCCUGCCACCAUUCUUGUUAUCAUAUUGAGCACCAAAUGUUCAAACAAGUCGCUCAUGUUGACCUUGACUGGAUUGUUCUUAUUUUCCUUCCAUUGCCUGAAUAGAUCCUUAUUGACAAGACUCACUUCAGAUGUUCGAACAUCCUUCAACAACUUGAGCCUUUGGGGGGAGAGGAGCUCGACAAUGGCGAGCUUACGCACAUCACGCCAAUAGGAACCGUAAGGCGAGAAACCAAAGGCUGCAUAGUUGUAGGCUAGGUGCUUUGAUUGGCUUGAUUGUGGGCGUGAAGCUACGAAUUUGUCAUUUGUGGUAUAGAACUCUUUCAUUAUAUGUUGACUGCUGAUCACCACUGUGCGGUGCAUCCCCAUGUUGAUGGAGAAGAUAGGGCCAUAUUUAUCAGCUACAUCACCCAAGAUUCUGGCAAACGGUUUCCUGGCACCAAGUUGAUGAAGGUGACCUAUAAUUGGCAGGGCACCAGGAAUUUGUGGGGGCAAUGAGCGCUCCUUACUGCUAUAUUUCUUUCCCCUCCGUAGAUUAUAAAGAAGGACUAGAGCUAGGACUCCUAGAAUUGCUACAAAAUUUGAAGAGAAAUCCAUGAUGGGUCUGGACUCUGGAGGGAGG
rnacentral:misc_RNA from 1 species